rnacentral:ncRNA from 1 species
GAAAGAUGAAAAGGACUUUGAAAAGAGAGUCAAAGAGUGCUUGAAAUUUUUGGGAGGGAAGCGGAUGGGGGUCGGUGGUAUGUCUCAGUCGGAUGUGGAAUGGUGUGAGCCGGUCUGCCGAUCGACUCUGUGUUAUCUGCGUUUUAUUGUGUUAUAACUGAAUUUUGAACCAAACCCCCCACAUCGUGUGUUUAAGCCUUUAACAGUAAAAGACGGUCCUUGGGAGACGACCUAGGAGUCACUUCCUAUUAUUACAUUUAAUUGCAAUUAUUUGACCAGAUACGGCUUCGAUCACUAACCCACCCGAGGGACGG